GGGCAAUUAGCUCAGUUGGUAGAGCGUUCGCUUUGCAUGCCUCAGAGUGCGAAAGGUCGUGAUUUCGAUUAUCACAUUGUCCA
rnacentral:tRNA from 4 species